rnacentral:sRNA from 2 species
CGGUUCGACCCGCCGAGUCCUGCCACCGAACCGCGAGCCCCAGGAACUCAAUGGCAGGAGCGGGGGACCCACCGUUCGACGGACGUCGCGAGACGUCCUGGGGUGAAGUCCUCAAGGGGCCGACCGGCCCUGCGGAGACCGGGCGAGCAGCACCUCGCGCCCGAACCCGACAGCUCACCUCGCAGGCGUUCGAGAGGCUGC